rnacentral:rRNA from 1 species
CCUACGGGAGGCUGCAGUGAGGAAUAUUGGUCAAUGGACGCAAGUCUGAACCAGCCAUGCCGCGUGCAGGAAGACGGCUCUAUGAGUUGUAAACUGCUUUUGUACGAGGGUAAACGCAGAUACGCGUAUCUGUCUGAAAGUAUCGUACGAAUAAGGAUCGGCUAACUCCGUGCCAGCAGCCGCGGUAAUACGGAGGAUUCAAGCGUUAUCCGGAUUUAUUGGGAUUAAAGGGUGCGUAGGCGGUCGGAUAAGUUAGAGGUGAAAUCCCGGGGCUCAACUUCGGCAUUGCGUCUGAUACUGUUCGGCUAGAGAGUAGUUGCGGUAGGCGGAAUGUAUGGUGUAGCGGUGAAAUGCUUAGAGAUCAUGCAGAACACCGAUUGCGAAGGCAGCUUACCAGGCUACUUCUGACGUUGAGGCACGAAAGCGUGGGGAGCGAACAGGAUUAGAUACCCUUGUAGUC